rfam:Bacillus phage Deep Blue, complete genome.
GGGGAUAUAGUGUAGCGGUGAACACACUUGACUGUCUAUCAAGUAGCACGGGUUCAAGUCCCGUUAUCCUCG